rnacentral:rRNA from 1 species
CCUACGGGCGGCUGCAGUGGGGAAUAUUGGACAAUGGGCGAAAGCCUGAUCCAGCCAUGCCGCGUGUGUGAAGAAGGCCUUCGGGUUGUAAAGCACUUUCAGUGGGGAAGAAAGCCUUGGGGCUAAUACCCUCGGGGAAGGACAUCACCCACAGAAGAAGCACCGGCUAACUCCGUGCCAGCAGCCGCGGUAAUACGGAGGGUGCGAGCGUUAAUCGGAAUUACUGGGCGUAAAGCGCGCGUAGGCGGUCUGAUAAGCCGGUUGUGAAAGCCCCGGGCUCAACCUGGGAACGGCAUCCGGAACUGUCAGGCUAGAGUGCAGGAGAGGAAGGUAGAAUUCCCGGUGUAGCGGUGAAAUGCGUAGAGAUCGGGAGGAAUACCAGUGGCGAAGGCGGCCUUCUGGACUGACACUGACGCUGAGGUGCGAAAGCGUGGGUAGCAAACAGGAUUAGAUACCCUUGUAGUC